rnacentral:rRNA from 1 species
UGGGGAAUAUUGCGCAAUGGGCGAAAGCCUGACGCAGCAACACCGCGUGGAGGAUGAAGGUCUUCGGAUUGUAAACUUCUGUCUAGUGAGAAGAAAGACUUGCUAAUAAAACGGGCAAGGGAUGACGGUAUCACUAAAGAAAGCACUGGCUAAUCUCGUGCCAGCAGCCGCGGUAAUACGAGAGGUGCGAGCGUUAUUCGGAAUUAUUGGGCGUAAAGGGUGCGUAGGCGGUAUGAUAAGUCUGUUGUUAAAUCUCCUGGCUCAACCAGGAAACUGCAAUGGAAACUAUUGUUCUAGAGGGUGAGAGAGAGAAGUGGAAUUCCAGGAGUUAGCGGUCAAAUGCGUAGAUCUCUGGAGGAACACCGAUGGCGAAGGCAGCUUCUUGGCUCAUUUCUGACGCUGAGGCACGGAAGCGUGGGGAGCAAACAGG